CAAGAAGUCUCAGAGGGUAACCCCCUCUGAAACCUUCCACCCUAUGUUUAUCGACCGUUUAGUUGUUGCCUCGGCGGGGAGUGCUUUGGCCCCUCCCGCCGGCGUACAGCCUUACAAACCUUUGAUACAAACCAAUAUAGUCAGAGUCUUUGAUAACAAAGCAAAAUAAAUCA
rnacentral:misc_RNA from 1 species